rnacentral:rRNA from 1 species
GACGAACGCUGGCGGCGUGCUUAACACAUGCAAGUCGAACGCUGAAGCUCAGCUUUUGUUGGGUGGAUGAGUGGCGAACGGGUGAGUAACACGUGAGUAACCUGCCUCCUUCUUUGGGAUAACGCCCGGAAACGGGUGCUAAUACUGGAUAUUCACUGGUCUUCGCAUGGGGGUUGGUGGGAAGGGUUUUUCUGGUGGGGGAUGGGCUCGCGGCCUAUCAGCUUGUUGGUGGGGUGAUGGCCUACCAAGGCUUUGACGGGUAGCCGGCCUGGGAGGGUGACCGGUCACAUUGGGACUGAGAUACGGCCCAGACUCCGACGGGAGGCAGCAGUGGGGAAUAUUGCACAAUGGGCGCAAGCCUGAUGCAGCGACGCCGCGUGAGGGAUGGAGGCCUUCGGGUUGUGAACCUCUUUCGCUCAUGGUCAAGCCGAAACAAUGGUUGUGGUGAGGGUAGUGGGUAAAGAAGCGCCGGCUAACUACGUG